rnacentral:rRNA from 2 species
UUAAGUUAACAAGGGCGCAUGGUGAAUGCCUUGGCACUAGGAGCCGAUGAAGGACGGGACUAACACCGAUAUGCUUCGGGGAGCUGUACGUAAGCUAUGAUCCGGAGAUUUCCGAAUGGGGCAACCCAGCAGUUUUAAUCAACUGUUACCACUAGAUGAAUUCAUAGUCUAGUUGGAGGUAAACGCUGUGAACUGAAACAUCUCAUUAGCAGCAGGAAUAUAAAGAAAUUUCGAUUCCCUAAGUAGCGGCGAGCGAACGGGGAACAGCCCAAACCAAAGUGCUUGCACUUUGGGGUUGUAGGACUGAACAUUUGAGUUACCAAAGAACUUGAUAGUCGAAGGAUUUGGGAAAAUCCGCCAUAGAUGGUGAUAGCCCAGUAGAUUAAAUCAAAUUCUCUCAGUUCAGGAUCCUGAGUACGGCGGAACACGUGAAAUUCCGUCGGAAUCCGGGAGGACCAUCUCCCAAGGCUAAAUACUACCUAGUGACCGAUAGUGAACCAGUACCGUGAGGGAAAGGUGAAAAGCACCCCGGGAGGGGAGUGAAAUAGUUCCUGAAACCAUGUGCCUACAAUAAGUCAGAGCGCGUUAAUGCGUGAUGGCGUGCCUUUUGUAGAAUGAACCGGCGAGUUAUGAUCCCGUGCAAGGUUAAGACUAAAAAGUCGGAGCCGUAGCGAAAGCGAGUCUGAAAUGGGCGUUUUGAGUACGAGGUUAUAGACCCGAAACCAGGUGACCUAUCCAUGUCCAGGUUGAAGGUGCGGUAAAACGCACUGGAGGACCGAACCCGUGUAAGUUGAAAAUUGCUGGGAUGAGGUGUGGAUAGCGGUGAAAUUCCAAACGAACUUGGAGAUAGCUGGUUCUCUCCGAAAUAGCUUUAGGGCUAGCCUCGGAAUUAGGAUCAUGGAGGUAGAGCACUAUUUGGACUAGGGGCCCGUCUUGGGUUACUGAAUUCAGAUAAACUCCGAAUGCCAUUGAUUCAUAUCCGGGAGUCAGACGAUGAGUGAUAAGAUCCACCGUCGAAAGGGGAACAGCCCAGACCAUCAGUUAAGGUCCCUAAAUGUAUGCUAAGUGGAAAAGGAUGUGGAGUUGCAUAGACAACUAGGAUGUUGGCUCAGAAGCAGCCACCAUUUAAAGAGUGCGUAAUAGCUCACUAGUCGAGUGAUCCUGCGCCGAAAAUGUACCGGGGCUAAGCAUACUACCGAAACCAUGGAUGCGACCAUUAGGUCGCGUGAUAGGAGAGCGUUCUAAGGGCGGUGAAGCAAGAUCGUGAGGACUUGUGGAGCGCUUAGAAGUGAGAAUGCCGGUAUGAGUAGCGAAAGAUAGGUGAGAAUCCUAUCCACCGAAUGACUAAGGUUUCCUGGGGAAGGCUCGUCCUCCCAGGGUUAGUCGGGACCUAAGUCGAGGCCGAGAGGCGUAGACGAUGGAUAACAGGUUGAGAUUCCUGUACUAGUUAAGUGCGUUUGAGCAAUGGAGGGACGCAGGAGGCUAAGAUGUGCAUUCUGUUGGAUUAGAAUGUCCAAGCAGUAAGUCUUGUGAAGAGUCAAAUGCUUUUCACUUUAAGGACAAGCUGUGAUGGGGAGCGAAAUUUAGUAGCGAAGCGUCUGAUGUCACACUGCCGAGAAAAGCUUCUAGUGAGUACUUAACUACCCGUACCGCAAACCGACACAGGUAGUCGAGGAGAGAAUCCUAAGGUGAGCGAGUGAACUCUCGUUAAGGAACUCGGCAAAAUGACCCCGUAACUUCGGGAGAAGGGGUGCUGAUCGCAAGAUCAGCCGCAGUGAAUAGGCCCAGGCGACUGUUUAUCAAAAACACAGGUCUCUGCAAAAUCGUAAGAUGACGUAUAGGGGCUGACGCCUGCCCGGUGCUGGAAGGUUAAAAGGAUGGGUUAGCUUCGGCGAAGCUCAGAAUUGAAGCCCCAGUAAACGGCGGCCGUAACUAUAACGGUCCUAAGGUAGCGAAAUUCCUUGUCGGGUAAGUUCCGACCCGCACGAAAGGCGUAACGAUCUGGGCACUGUCUCAACGAGAGACUCGGUGAAAUUAUAUUGUCCGUGAAGAUGCGGACUACCCGCGACAGGACGGAAAGACCCCAUGGAGCUUUACUGUAGCUUGAUAUUGAGUGUUUGUACAGCUUGUACAGGAUAGGUAGGAGCCAUAGAAACCGGAACGCUAGUUUCGGUGGAGGCAUUGGUGGGAUACUACCCUCGCUGUAUGACCACUCUAACCCGCACCACUAAUCGUGGUGGGAGACAGUGUCAGGUGGGCAGUUUGACUGGGGCGGUCGCCUCCUAAAAAGUAACGGAGGCGCCCAAAGGUUCCCUCAGAAUGGUUGGAAAUCAUUCGCAGAGUGUAAAGGCACAAGGGAGCUUGACUGCGAGACAGACAGGUCGAGCAGGGACGAAAGUCGGGCUUAGUGAUCCGGUGGUACCGUAUGGAAGGGCCAUCGCUCAACGGAUAAAAGCUACCCUGGGGAUAACAGGCUUAUCUCCCCCAAGAGUCCACAUCGACGGGGAGGUUUGGCACCUCGAUGUCGGCUCAUCGCAUCCUGGGGCUGUAGUCGGUCCCAAGGGUUGGGCUGUUCGCCCAUUAAAGCGGUACGCGAGCUGGGUUCAGAACGUCGUGAGACAGUUCGGUCCCUAUCCGUCGCGGGCGUAGGAAAUUUGAGAGGACCUGUCCUUAGUACGAGAGGACCGGGAUGGACAUACCUCUGGUGUACCAGUUGUGCCGCCAGGCGCAUCGCUGGGUAGCUACGUAUGGAUGUGAUAAACGCUGAAAGCAUCUAAGUGUGAAACACACCUCGAGAUGAGAUUUCCCAUUCCUUUAUGGAAGUAAGACCCCUGAAAGAUGAUCAGGUAGAUAGGUUAGAAGUGGCAGUGCGGUGACGCAUGAAGCGGACUAAUACUAAUCGGUCGAGGACUUAACCAAG